rnacentral:rRNA from 1 species
UACGUAGGGGGCAAGCGUUGUCCGGAUUUAUUGGGCGUAAAGAGCGUGUAGGCGGCCUGACAAGUCUGCUGUGAAAACUCGAGGCUCAACCUCGAGAUGUCGGCGGAAACUGUCUGGCUAGAGUCCGGAAGAGGAGAGUGGAAUUCCUGGUGUAGCGGUGAAAUGCGCAGAUAUCAGGAGGAACACCGGUGGCGAAGGCGGUUCUCUGGGCAUUACCUGACGCUGAGGAGCGAAAGUGUGGGGAGCGAACAGG